GACGAACGCUGGCGGCGUGCCUAAUACAUGCAAGUAGAACGCUGAAGCGAGGAGCUUGCUCUUCUUGGAUGAGUUGCGAACGGGUGAGUAACGCGUAGGUAACCUGCCUUGUAGCGGGGGAUAACUAUUGGAAACGAUAGCUAAUACCGCAUAACAAUGGAUGACACAUGUCAUUUAUUUGAAAGGGGCAAUUGCUCCACUACAAGAUGGACCUGCGUUGUAUUAGCUAGUAGGUGAGGUAAUGGCUCACCUAGGCGACGAUACAUAGCCGACCUGAGAGGGUGAUCGGCCACACUGGGACUGAGACACGGCCCAGACUCCUACGGGAGGCAGCAGUAGGGAAUCUUCGGCAAUGGGGGCAACCCUGACCGAGCAACGCCGCGUGAGUGAAGAAGGUUUUCGGAUCGGAAAGUUCUGUUGUAAGUCAAGAACGGGUGUGAGAGUGGAAAGUUCACACUGUGACGGUAGCUUACCAGAAAGGGACGGCUAACUACGUG
rnacentral:rRNA from 1 species